CAUUAGAUGACUGAAAGCAAGUAAUGGUCUCUUAAACCACCUUAUAGUAGUAUAGCUCCUACUUCUAAUG
rnacentral:tRNA from 1 species